rnacentral:rRNA from 1 species
CCUACGGGAGGCAGCAGUGAGGAAUAUUGGUCAAUGGGCGCAAGCCUGAACCAGCCAAGUCGCGUGAGGGAUGACGGUCCUAUGGAUUGUAAACCUCUUUUGUCGGGGAGCAAGGCCCGCCACGUGUGGCGGGAAGGAGAGUACCCGAAGAAAAAGCAUCGGCUAACUCCGUGCCAGCAGCCGCGGUAAUACGGAGGAUGCGAGCGUUAGCCGGAUUGAUUGGGUUUAAAGGGUGCGUAGGCGGAAGGUUAAGUCAGCGGUCAAAUGUCGGUGCUCAACACCGGCCUGCCGUUGAAACUGGUCUUCUUGAGUGAGCGAUAAGUAUGCGGAAUGCGUGGUGUAGCGGUGACAUGCAUAGAUAUCACGCAGAACUCCGAUUGCGACGGCAGCAUACCGGCGCUCAACUGACGCUGAGGCACGAAAGCGUGGGGAUCGAACAGGAUUAGAUACCCGAGUAGUC